rnacentral:rRNA from 1 species
GAUGAACGCUGGCGGCGUGCCUAAUACAUGCAAGUCGAGCGAACGGACGAGAAGCUUGCUUCACUGAUGUUAGCGGCGGACGGGUGAGUAACACGUGGAUAACCUACCUAUAAGACUGGGAUAACUUCGGGAAACCGUAGCUAAUACCGGAUAAUAUUUUGAACCGCAUGGUUCAAAAGUGAAAGACGGUCUUGCUGUCACUUAUAGAUGGAUCCGCGCUGCAUUAGCUAGUUGGUAAGGUAACGGCUUACCAAGGCAACGAUGCAUAGCCGACCUGAGAGGGUGAUCGGCCACACUGGAACUGAGACACGGUCCAGACUCCUACGGGAGGCAGCAGUAGGGAAUCUUCCGCAAUGGGCGAAAGCCUGACGGAGCAACGCCGCGUGAGUGAUGAAGGUCUUCGGAUCGUAAAACUCUGUUAUUAGGGAAGAACAUAUGUGUAAGUAACUGUGCACAUCUGGACGGUACCUAAUCAGAAAGCCACGGCUAACUACGU